AUUGAACGCUGGCGGAAUGCUUUACACAUGCAAGUCGAGCGGCAGCGCGGGGUAACCUGGCGGCGAGCGGCGAACGGGUGAGUAACACAUCGGAACGUACCCAGUUGUGGGGGAUAGCCCGGCGAAAGCCGGAUUAAUACCGCAUACGACCUGAGGGUGAAAGUGGGGGAUCGCAAGACCUCACGCAGUUGGAGCGGCCGAUGGCGGAUUAGCUAGUUGGUAGGGUAAAGGCCUACCAAGGCGACGAUCCGUAGCGGGUCUGAGAGGACGACCCGCCACACUGGAACUGAGACACGGUCCAGACUCCUACGGGAGGCAGCAGUGGGGAAUUUUGGACAAUGGGGGCAACCCUGAUCCAGCCAUUUCGCGUGAGUGAAGAAGGCCUUCGGGUUGUAAAGCUCUUUCGGCAGGAACGAAACGGCGGACUCUAACAUAGCCUGCUAAUGACGGUACCUGAAGAAGAAGCACCGGCUAACUACGUGCCAGCAGCCGCCGUAA
rnacentral:rRNA from 1 species